rnacentral:rRNA from 1 species
CGCGUAGGCGGUUUGCUAAGUCGGAUGUGAAAGCCCCGGGCUCAACCUGGGAACUGCAUUCGAUACUGGCAGGCUGGAGUAUGGUAGAGGGAAGUGGAAUUCCGGGUGUAGCGGUGAAAUGCGUAGAUAUCCGGAGGAACAUCAGUGGCGAAGGCGGCUUCCUGGACCAAUACUGACGCUGAGGUGCGAAAGCGUGGGGAGCAAACA